GACGAACGCUGGCGGCGUGCUUAACACAUGCAAGUCGAACGGAAAGGCCCUGCUUUCGUGGGGUGCUCGAGUGGCGAACGGGUGAGUAACACGUGAGUAACCUGCCCUUGACUUUGGGAUAACUUCAGGAAACUGGGGCUAAUACCGGAUAGGAGCUCCUGCUGCAUGGUGGGGGUUGGAAAGUUUCGGCGGUUGGGGAUGGACUCGCGGCUUAUCAGCUUGUUGGUGGGGUAGUGGCUUACCAAGGCUUUGACGGGUAGCCGGCCUGAGAGGGUGACCGGCCACAUUGGGACUGAGAUACGGCCCAGACUCCUACGGGAGGCAGCAGUGGGGAAUAUUGCACAAUGGGCGGAAGCCUGAUGCAGCAACGCCGCGUGCGGGAUGACGGCCUUCGGGUUGUAAACCGCUUUCGCCUGUGGCGAAGCGUGAGUGACGGUAAUGGGUAAAGAAGCACCGGCUAACUACGUG
rnacentral:rRNA from 1 species